rnacentral:rRNA from 1 species
GACGUAGGGCGCGAGCGUUGUCCGGAUUUAUUGGGCGUAAAGAGCUCGUAGGCGGCUCGUUGCGUCGGCUGUGAAAACCCGCAGCUCAACUGUGGGCUUGCAGCUGAUACGGGCGGGCUGGGAUUCGGUAGGGGAGACUGGAAUUCCUGGUGUAGCGGUGAAAUGCGCAGAUAUCAGGAGGAACACCGGUGGCGAAGGCGGGUCUCUGGGCCGAUACUGACACUGAGGAGCGAAAGCGUGGGGAGCGAACAGG